CAUCGAAUGCCAAGGGAGGGGCUGCCUAGUCCUCGCGAGGCUUCGUUGUCGCGGAGGAGGAGGCGGCGGCGGGCGGCCGGUGGGGAUGCGCUCCGAAGAGGGGGCCGGAGGCCCGGGCGCCGCCCUGUCUGCGCGGGGCCCCAUCUGGAGGGAGAAACUGUCAGCCCCGGAGGCCCAGUUCCGCCGCGAGUCGCCGCGGAGGGAAUCCGCGCUAGCCCCGGCCCCGUCCUUCAGUGAGAGCGGAGCGGGCAAGCCUCGCGAGGAGAAGAGGACGGCGCUGAGCAAGGUGGUCCUCCGGCGUCUGCCCCCCGGUCUCACCAAAGAGCAGCUGGAGGAGCAACUGCGCCCCCUGCCUGCGCACGACUACUUCGAGGUGGUAGCUGCGGACCUCAGUCUCUACCCUCAUCUCUACUCACGAGCGUACAUUAACUUCCGGAACCCUGAUGACAUCCUUCUGUUCAGAGAUCGCUUUGAUGGAUAUAUAUUCAUUGGCAAUAAAGGCCUGGAGUAUCCUGCAGUGGUGGAGUUUGCUCCGUUCCAGAAGAUUGCCAAGAAGAAGCUGAAGAAAAAGGACGCCAAGACUGGAAGCAUUGAAGAUGACCCAGAAUAUAAACAGUUUCUGGAGACAUACAGCUUGGAGGAAGAAAAAGCCGGUGCCAGUCCUGAGACGCUUCUGGGAGAGAUAGAAGUGAAGACGAGAGAGCUCCUGGCCAGAAGAACCACACCUCUUUUGGAAUAUAUUAAAACUAGAAAACUAGAAAAGCAGAGAAUUCGAGAAGAAAAGCGCGAAGAGCGAAGGAGGAGGGAGCUGGAAAAGAAGCGAUUCCGGGAAGAAGAGAAAAGGAAGAGGAGGGAAGAGGAGAGGUGGAGAAGGAAGGAGGCGGAUAAGCAGAAGAGAACUGAGAAGGAGGUUAAGAUUAAGCUUCUCAAAAAGCUGGAAACAGGGGAAGAAGCAGCCACAGAGAAGCACAGAGAAAGAGGUGACUCAGUUGGUCCUGGAGACGAAAAGCAGGAAGCCCGGCCAGUGGAAAGCCUGCCAGAGAUGCCUGGGGAGAGACUCAAGCCCUGGGAAUGGUGUUGACUCCCUUUAGGAUGGAUCCUCCCACCUCAGUUACCUAACCAAGACAGUCACAGGCAUCACAGAGGCUCGUCUCAGGUUUUGACAGCUGUCUAACAUCACCAGAAUGAAGAAGAGAGACUCUCCGUGUGAUUAUGUGGCCACCCAGGCAUUUGAAGCAAGAAGUCCAAUUUUCCCUGUCACGGGUUCAAAGAAUAAUAAUUUUUUUAUAAAA